UCCGCUUCCGCCUCUCCUCACCCCGGAUUCGCCGGGGGGGGGAGGCCGGCCGCCAUUUUUACUGAGGGCCCAAAGGGGCGGGGCGGCCGCCAUCUUCAGCGAGGGCAGAGGAGGAGCGGGGAGAGGCGGCGCGGCUGGUCGUGAAAUGGAGGCGGGCAAUACCCCCGCGUCCCGGCCCGCUGCCCCUCGGCUGCGGGAAGAGGAGCUGGCAUGCUAAUCAUGUGGAAGCCGAUACCCUACUUGUGCUUCUGCCAAGAGAGCUGGUCUUGUACAUUAGAUGUGAAAGUGCAGUAUGACCAUCAGAACUGCUAUCACAACAUGCAACUACUCCCACUGUCCCUCCCCCCAAAAUCUGAUCCAUCACACUGUAAAUGCGAUUAUUCCUACUGAAACUCCUAGGGUCUGCAUAAUGCAACCCCACAACGUUUGAAUGUGAACUGCUCCACUGAGAAGUCCCAGCA